GACGUAGGGCGCGAGCGUUGUCCGGAUUUAUUGGGCGUAAAGAGCUCGUAGGCGGUUUGUCGCGUCUGCUGUGAAAUUCCAGGGCUUAACCCUGGCUUGCAGUGGGUACGGGCAGACUAGAGUGUGGUAGGGGAGACUGGAAUUCCUGGUGUAGCGGUGAAAUGCGCAGAUAUCAGGAGGAACACCGAUGGCGAAGGCAGGUCUCUGGGCCACUACUGACGCUGAGAAGCGAAAGCAUGGGGAGCGAACAGG
rnacentral:rRNA from 1 species